rnacentral:rRNA from 1 species
GGGGAAAUUCAAUACCGCCCCUUAAAAAGGCGGUGUGCACUUUUCUCCCAGUAAGACGCUGUGAUCCAUUAGAAAUUGGACCAUGCCAAUGGUUGAUGGGCUAUCAAUGGGCCGACAUGAAGUUCAGUGGUGACGAUGACGUUGAUCUUUUACGGUUGCGUGUACGACCCGGUGAGCAUGUUGAUACCUGUAGUAGCUGUCUGAUGGAUUUUAAAGGCCAAUAUUACUGAUGUCUUGUUGCAUCACCCAUUACGAUGGGAGUGAAUAUGUGCCCGAUCAACAGUGGUUAAAUUUGCGAUACCUUUGGGACCCGUCUUGAAACACGGACCAAGGAGUCUAUCUAGUAUGCAAGUAAAUGGGUAUAUGAAACCUAUUUGCAUAAAAAACUUGACUUUUAUGGGAUUACGAGUCACUCAUGUGGUGGCUCUUCCAUCCCGGGGUAUUUUCGUCAACAUAUGCAGUAAAAUGUAUAUGGAAAAUAUACCAUGAGCGUACUGGAUAUGACCCGAAAGAUGGUGAACUAUGCCUGAUCAGGUUGAAGUCAGGGGAAACCCUGAUGGAGGACCGUAGUUGUUCUGACGUGCAAAUCGAUAACGCGAGUUGGGCAUAGGG